GAUUACUAAUACAUAGCGGAACAAAGAGAUGGUGGCAGUCACGAUUUCUCGCAAAAUUCGAAUUACCAUAGACAAAUGAUGAUCUUCACCAUCGACAAGACAUGAUUCAAUUUCCCUUUCCAUUUGCUCCAAUGACCGAACACAAGCGACUAUGUUCUUCUUCGCUUUCUUUCUCGACAAAAAGUAAUCCAUAAGGUGACCAUCGGUGGUUGAAUAAGUGGCCACGCCUUUUCUCCGCAAUGCGAAUUGAAGGACCCGAGCACUUCCCUUCAUUUGCCCAAGCAAUUCUAGGAGGCUACCAUAUGAGUCCAUCAACCGAGUCGAUCUAACAAGCGCGUCUUCGAUUAGGACUUUGUUUCUGGAUUGAAGAUUAACCUUUUGUGUCUGGGUGGAACCAAGAAGUUCAUUAACCGAUGUGUACAAGUCAGUUAGACAUGCUAGACCAGUAUGAAUACGUGUGGAUGAGUAGAAGGGUUCAAGUGUUUUGAGCUUGUUGAGGUUGAUUUCAAUUUGAGAAAAAGAUGGGUUUGAUCUAGAUGGAAGACUAAUGGAUCGAAGCUGAGAUGGGUUUGUGCUCUCCAUGUUUGAAUUUUGGUCAUGUAUGGAAAUGGUAAAGUUUUCAUCAACCAUCACUAAUCAUUUAGUGGUGGUCACGGAUACUUAACUUCCACCUAUGAUGGACCCGGGUGAAUUUUCUUCUUCAGGUCUUAAGUUCAAGUCUGGUUGAUAGGAGUUUCUCACUGAGGGGUUUAAAUUGGAGAUCUAUUGUGCGAGGAAGCUCUCUAGCGCGGACCCGAUUAAGAAAACGUAUACUAGACCUCCCAACAUUUGCAAAUAAUUCACACCUUUCAAAAAAAGGUAAAGUUUUCAUUGAUGAAAUCAGAGCUCAUUGGUGGAAUCUAGGUCGCGGUUUGCAACAUAAAUAAAUAACGGCUUUCACUAUUUUUAGGGUGGAGGGAGUCGUUCAAUUACUUUAGGGUGUUUGAGUUAUUCUCUAUCCAAUAAUAUCAUGCCAUGUCAAGUCCCCAUUCCACUCCCUAUUUUACACUCAAUCACUAAGGGUGAGAGGGGCACUCCCCUCUUAGGGGAGUCCCCUCUCUCACACACACCCAAUCAGGUUAUGACAUGUCAACUCCCCUCUUAAACUCCUCUCACACCCUCAAUUUGAUGACGGCACUCCUCUCUUAGGGGACUUGUUUUUUUAUUC
rnacentral:lncRNA from 1 species